UACGAACCUGACAAACGUUAUUCGGAAUUACUGGGCUUAAAGGGUGCGUAGGCGGCGCGACAAGUUGGGUGUGAAAUCCCUCGGCUCAACCGAGGAACUGCGCUCAAUACUGUCGUGCUCGAGGGAGACAGAGGUGAGCGGAACUUAGGGUGGAGCGGUGAAAUGCGUUGAUAUCAUCUGGAAUACCGGAGGCGAAGGCGGCUCACUGGGGGUUUUCUGACGCUGAGGAACGAAAGCCAGGGUAGCGAACGGG
rnacentral:rRNA from 1 species